UACGUAGGGUGCAAGCGUUAAUCGGAAUUACUGGGCGUAAAGCGUGCGCAGGCGGUGAUGUAAAACCGAUGUGAAAUCCCCGGGCUUAACCUGGGAACUGCAUUGGUGACUGCAUUGCUAGAGUAUGGCAGAGGGGGGUGGAAUUCCACGUGUAGCAGUGAAAUGCGUAGAGAUGUGGAGGAACACCGAUGGCGAAGGCAGCCCCCUGGGCCAAUACUGACGCUCAUGCACGAAAGCGUGGGGAGCAAACAGG
rnacentral:rRNA from 1 species